AGAAAGCAUCUCUAGAGCUCAUUCUGUGUUCAAGUCUCGAACGGGCAACAGCUCCCAAAAUUAUUUGUGCUAAAAAAUAUUAAAUAAAAAUUUCGUCAAAAAAAAUUAAAGUGAAAAAAAAUAAAAAAUUUAAAAUCCCAAAAUUAUUUGUGCUAAAAAAUAUUAAAUUUCGACAAAAAAGAAAUUAAAGUGAAAAAAAAAAAUUGAAAAUUCCUUGCAUCUAGUGUGCCUUGAUUUUGGAUUAGAAAUAAUUGAAUAAUAGCAGUCAAGGGAUUUUUAGCUAUUGUUUUAUUAAAAUCACAAAAAAAAAAGCAAAACAGUCGCAGCCUUAUCCGCCGCAGAUGCGUCUUGGAGACAAUGAUAUAACAUUCAAGAUACAUAUUCAUUAAUAUUUGAUUAGACAGUUCUUGCUCCUGACCCUUCAUAUAUUCAGUAACUGAAGAGAAAUAACGUGUGGAGGACUUCAUAUCCAUAGUAGCUACAAAAGCGCCAUAUGACUUGUUUUGGUUCUUGGACGAGUGGCAUACACUAUAGAGUGCAAAAUAUACCAGAUUGUCAGCCAAAGCAUAAACAAGAUAUGUUUGCUUCAUGCCAGAUUUACAUCAAGCAACCCUCGCAACUUCGUUGUAACUGCUUAAAAACAUUGAUGCUAUAUGUUCAUUGAUUGUGCUUAUCGAUCUAGGCUAGACUAAGCUGCUGGCCAAUAGCUGAAUUAAUUUUUGGCGUAUAUUCUAUUCCCUGGCUAUAGUGCGAACAAUCUAGAACCAAUUGAGAA